rnacentral:rRNA from 1 species
GACAGAGGGUGCGAACGUUGCUCGGAAUUACUGGGCGUAAAGCGCGUGUAGGCGGACUAGUAAGUCGGACGUGAAAUCCCUGGGCUCAACCCAGGAACUGCAUCCGAAACUAUUAGUCUGGAGUGGUGGAGAGGAAAGCAGAAUUCCUGGUGUAGAGGUGAAAUUCGUAGAUAUCAGGAGGAACACCGGUGGCGAAGGCGGCUUGCCAGAACGCGCUCGACGGUGAGGGAUGAAAGCUGGGGGGAGCAAACCGG